rnacentral:rRNA from 1 species
UACAGAGGUGGCGAGCGUUAUUCGGUAUUAUUGGGCGUAAAGGGCGCGUAGGCGGCCCAUUAAGUCAAAGGUGAAAUCCCUCGGCUCAACCGAGGACGUGCCUUUGAUACUGCGGGGCUCGAGGCCGGGAGAGGGUAGUGGAAUUCCCAGUGUAGCGGUGAAAUGCGUAGAUAUUGGGAAGAACACCAGUGGCGAAGGCGGCUGCCUGGACCGGUUCUGACGCUGAGGCGCGAAAGCGUGGGGAGCAAACAGG